GCACGAAUGGCGUAACGAUGGGGGCGCUGUCUCUACCCGAGACUCAGUGAAAUUGAAAUCGCCGUGAAGAUGCGGUGUAUCCGCGGCUAGACGGAAAGACCCCGUGAACCUUUACUAUAGCUUCACAGUGAACUUUGAACAUGUUUGUGUAGGAUAGCUGGGAGGCUUUGAAGCGUGAACGCCAGUUUGCGUGGAGCCAACCUUGAAAUACCAGCCUGGCAUGUUUGAGGUUCUAACUCUGUCCCCUUAUCGGGGAUGAGGACACUGUGUGGUGGGUAGUUUGACUGGGGCGGUCUCCUCCUAAAGCGUAACGGAGGAGCACAAAGGUGGGCUAAGUACGGUCGGACAUCGUACGGUUAGUGUAAUGGCACAAGCCCGCUUAACUGCGAGACAGACACGUCGAGCAGGUACGAAAGUAGGUCAUAGUGAUCCGGUGGUUCUGUAUGGAAGGGCCAUCGCUCAACGGAUAAAAGGUACUCCGGGGAUAACAGGCUGAUACCGCCCAAGAGUUCACAUCGACGGCGGUGUUUGGCACCUCGAUGUCGGCUCAUCACAUCCUGGGGCUGAAGCCGGUCCCAAGGGUAUGGCUGUUCGCCAUUUAAAGUGGUACGCGAGCUGGGUUUAGAACGUCGUGAGACAGUUCGGUCCCUAUCUGCCGUGGACGUUGGAGAUUUGAGGAAAGCUGCUCCUAGUACGAGAGGACCGGAGUGGACGAACCGCUGGUGUUCCAGUUGUCUCGCCAGAGGCAUUGCUGGGUAGCUACGUUCGGACAGGAUAACCGCUGAAAGCAUCUAAGCGGGAAGCCCCUUCCAAGAUGAGAUCUCCCUGAGGCCUUGAGCCUCCUGAAGAGCCGUUCAAGACCAGGACGUUGAUAGGUCGGGUGUGUAAGCGCUGCGAGGCGUUGAGCUAACCGAUACUAAUUGCUCGUGCGGCUUGACUAUAUAACACCCAAG
rnacentral:rRNA from 1 species